rnacentral:rRNA from 1 species
AAACUGGAGAGUUUGAUCCUGGCUCAGAACGAACGCUGGCGGCGUGCCUAACACAUGCAAGUCGCACGAGAAAGGGGACUUCGGUCCCUGAGUAGAGUGGCAGACGGGUGAGUAACACGUGGGUAACCUGCCCCUGAGUGGGGAAUAACCCAGGGAAACUUGGGCUAAUACCGCAUAAUAUCGCUUUUUCCCUGGAAAGAGCGAUUAAAGGUGGGGAUCGAAAGACCUACCGCUUAGGGAGGGGCCCGCGUCUGAUUAGCUUGUUGGUGGGGUAAUGGCCUACCAAGGCUUCGAUCAGUAGCCGGCCUGAGAGGGUGAUCGGCCACACUGGAACUGAGACACGGUCCAGACUCCUACGGGAGGCAGCAGUGAGGAAUUUUGCGCAAUGGGCGAAAGCCUGACGCAGCAACGCCGCGUGGAUGAUGAAGGCCUUCGGGUCGUAAAAUCCUGUCAGGAGGGAAGAAAUGGUAGCGGGCCAACACCCCGUUAUUU